ACGAACGCUGGCGGCGUGCUUAACACAUGCAAGUCGAACGUGAUUUUUGUGGAAAUUCUUUCGGGAAUGGAAAUGAAAUGAAAGUGGCGAGCGGGUGAGUAACACGUGAGCAACCUACCUUACACAGGGGGAUAGCCGUUGGAAACGACGAUUAAUACCGCAUGAGACCACAGAAUCGCAUGAUAUAGGGGUCAAAGAUUUAUCGGUGUAAGAAGGGCGCGCGUCUGAUUAGCUAGUUGGAAGGGUAAAGGCCUACCAAGGCGACGAUCAGUAGCCGGUCUGAGAGGAUGAACGGCCACAUUGGAACUGAGACACGGUCCAAACUCCUACGGGAGGCAGCAGUGGGGAAUAUUGCACAAUGGGGGGAACCCUGAUGCAGCGACGCCGCGUGAGCGAAGAAGGUUUUCGAAUCGUAAAGCUCUGUCCUAUGAGAAGAUAAUGACGGUAUCAUAGGAGGAAGCCCCGGCUAAAUACGUG
rnacentral:rRNA from 1 species